CCUACGGGAGGCAGCAGUGGGGAAUAUUGCACAAUGGGGGAAACCCUGAUGCAGCGACGCCGCGUGAGUGAAGAAGUAAUUCGUUAUGUAAAGCUCUAUUAGCAGGGAAGAAAAUGACGGUACCUGAGUAAGAAGCCCCGGCUAACUACGUGCCAGCAGCCGCGGUAAUAAGUAGGGGGCAAGCGUUAUCCGGAUUUACUGGGUGUAAAGGGAGCGUAGACGGCAGUGCAAGUCUGGAGUGAAAGGCGGGGGCUCAACCCCCGGACUGCUCUGGAAACUGUACGGCUGGAGUGCAGGAGAGGUAAGUGGAAUUCCUAGUGUAGCGGUGAAAUGCGUAGAUAUUAGGAGGAACACCAGUGGCGAAGGCGGCUUACUGGACUGUAACUGACGUUGAGGCUCGAAAGCGUGGGGAGCAAACAGGAUUAGAUACCCCUGUAGUC
rnacentral:rRNA from 1 species